rnacentral:rRNA from 1 species
UUAAGCGACUAAGCGUACACGGUGGAUGCCCUGGCAGUCAGAGGCGAUGAAGGACGUGCUAAUCUGCGAUAAGCGCCGGUAAGGUGAUAUGAACCGUUAUAACCGGCGAUUUCCGAAUGGGGAAACCCAGUGUGACUCGUCACACUAUCAUUAACUGAAUCCAUAGGUUAAUGAGGCGAACCGGGGGAACUGAAACAUCUAAGUACCCCGAGGAAAAGAAAUCAACCGAGAUUCCCCCAGUAGCGGCGAGCGAACGGGGAGGAGCCCAGAGCCUGAAUCAGCAUGUGUGUUAGUGGAAGCGUCUGGAAAGGCGCGCGAUACAGGGUGACAGCCCCGUACACAAAAGCGCAUGUGCUGUGAGCUCGAUGAGUAGGGCGGGACACGUGGUAUCCUGUCUGAAUAUGGGGGGACCAUCCUCCAAGGCUAAAUACUCCUGACUGACCGAUAGUGAACCAGUACCGUGAGGGAAAGGCGAAAAGAACCCCGGCGAGGGGAGUGAAAAAGAACCUGAAACCGUGUACGUACAAGCAGUGGGAGCACCCUUUGGGGUGUGACUGCGUACCUUUUGUAUAAUGGGUCAGCGACUUAUAUUCUGUAGCAAGGUUAACCGCAUAGGGGAGCCGGAGGGAAACCGAGUCUUAAUUGGGCGUUAAGUUGCAGGGUAUAGACCCGAAACCCGGUGAUCUAGCCAUGGGCAGGUUGAAGGUUGGGUAACACUAACUGGAGGACCGAACCGACUAAUGUUGAAAAAUUAGCGGAUGACCUGUGGCUGGGGGUGAAAGGCCAAUCAAACCGGGAGAUAGCUGGUUCUCCCCGAAAGCUAUUUAGGUAGCGCCUCGUGAAUUCAUCUCCGGGGGUAGAGCACUGUUUCGGCUAGGGGGCCAUCCCGGCUUACCAACCCGAUGCAAACUGCGAAUACCGGAGAAUGUUAUCACGGGAGACACACGGCGGGUGCUAACGUCCGUCGUGAAGAGGGAAACAACCCAGACCGCCAGCUAAGGUCCCAAAGUCAUGGUUAAGUGGGAAACGAUGUGGGAAGGCCCAGACAGCCAGGAUGUUGGCUUAGAAGCAGCCAUCAUUUAAAGAAAGCGUAAUAGCUCACUGGUCGAGUCGGCCUGCGCGGAAGAUGUAACGGGGCUAAACCAUGCACCGAAGCUGCGGCAGCGACGCUGAUGCGUUGUUGGGUAGGGGAGCGUUCUGUAAGCCUGUGAAGGUGGCCUGUGAGGGUUGCUGGAGGUAUCAGAAGUGCGAAUGCUGACAUAAGUAACGAUAAAGCGGGUGAAAAGCCCGCUCGCCGGAAGACCAAGGGUUCCUGUCCAACGUUAAUCGGGGCAGGGUGAGUCGACCCCUAAGGCGAGGCCGAAAGGCGUAGUCGAUGGGAAACGGGUUAAUAUUCCCGUACUUGGUGUUACUGCGAAGGGGGGACGGAGAAGGCUAUGUUGGCCGGGCGACGGUUGUCCCGGUUUAAGCGUGUAGGCUGGUUUUCCAGGCAAAUCCGGAAAAUCAAGGCUGAGGCGUGAUGACGAGGCACUACGGUGCUGAAGCAACAAAUGCCCUGCUUCCAGGAAAAGCCUCUAAGCAUCAGGUAACAUCAAAUCGUACCCCAAACCGACACAGGUGGUCAGGUAGAGAAUACCAAGGCGCUUGAGAGAACUCGGGUGAAGGAACUAGGCAAAAUGGUGCCGUAACUUCGGGAGAAGGCACGCUGACAUGUAGGUGAAGUGAUUUACUCAUGGAGCUGAAGUCAGUCGAAGAUACCAGCUGGCUGCAACUGUUUAUUAAAAACACAGCACUGUGCAAACACGAAAGUGGACGUAUACGGUGUGACGCCUGCCCGGUGCCGGAAGGUUAAUUGAUGGGGUCAGCGCAAGCGAAGCUCCUGAUCGAAGCCCCGGUAAACGGCGGCCGUAACUAUAACGGUCCUAAGGUAGCGAAAUUCCUUGUCGGGUAAGUUCCGACCUGCACGAAUGGCGUAAUGAUGGCCAGGCUGUCUCCACCCGAGACUCAGUGAAAUUGAACUCGCUGUGAAGAUGCAGUGUACCCGCGGCAAGACGGAAAGACCCCGUGAACCUUUACUAUAGCUUGACACUGAACAUUGAGCCUUGAUGUGUAGGAUAGGUGGGAGGCUUUGAAGUGUGGACGCCAGUCUGCAUGGAGCCGACCUUGAAAUACCACCCUUUAAUGUUUGAUGUUCUAACGUGGACCCGUGAUCCGGGUUGCGGACAGUGUCUGGUGGGUAGUUUGACUGGGGCGGUCUCCUCCUAAAGAGUAACGGAGGAGCACGAAGGUUGGCUAAUCCUGGUCGGACAUCAGGAGGUUAGUGCAAUGGCAUAAGCCAGCUUGACUGCGAGCGUGACGGCGCGAGCAGGUGCGAAAGCAGGUCAUAGUGAUCCGGUGGUUCUGAAUGGAAGGGCCAUCGCUCAACGGAUAAAAGGUACUCCGGGGAUAACAGGCUGAUACCGCCCAAGAGUUCAUAUCGACGGCGGUGUUUGGCACCUCGAUGUCGGCUCAUCACAUCCUGGGGCUGAAGUAGGUCCCAAGGGUAUGGCUGUUCGCCAUUUAAAGUGGUACGCGAGCUGGGUUUAGAACGUCGUGAGACAGUUCGGUCCCUAUCUGCCGUGGGCGCUGGAGAACUGAGGGGGGCUGCUCCUAGUACGAGAGGACCGGAGUGGACGCAUCACUGGUGUUCGGGUUGUCAUGCCAAUGGCACUGCCCGGUAGCUAAAUGCGGAAGAGAUAAGUGCUGAAAGCAUCUAAGCACGAAACUUGCCCCGAGAUGAGUUCUCCCUGAGACUUAGAGUCUCCUGAAGGAACGUUGAAGACGACGACGUUGAUAGGCCGGGUGUGUAAGCGCAGCGAUGCGUUGAGCUAACCGGUACUAAUGAACCGUGAGGCUUAACCUU